rnacentral:rRNA from 1 species
GACGAACCGUGCGAACGUUAUUCGGAAUCACUGGGCUUAAAGCGCGUGUAGGCGGGCCGCCGCGUCGGCUGCUGAAAUCCCCCGGCUCAACCGGGGAACGGGCACCGAUACGGGCGGCCUCGAGGGGGGUAGGGGGACCUGGAACUUCCGGUGGAGCGGUGAAAUGCGCAGAUAUCAGGAGGAACACCGGUGGCGAAGGCGGGUCUCUGGGCCGAAACUGACGCUGAGGAGCGAAAGCGUGGGGAGCGAACAGG